AGAGUUUGAUCAUGGCUCAGAACGAACGCUGGCGGCAGGCUUAACACAUGCAAGUCGAGCGCUGUAGCAAUACAGAGCGGCAGACGGGUGAGUAACGCGUGGGAAUCUACCCAUCCCUACGGAACAACUCCGGGAAACUGGAGCUAAUACCGUAUACGCCCUUUGGGGGAAAGAUUUAUCGGGGAUGGAUGAGCCCGCGUUGGAUUAGCUAGUUGGUGGGGUAAAGGCCUACCAAGGCGACGAUCCAUAGCUGGUCUGAGAGGAUGAUCAGCCACAUUGGGACUGAGACACGGCCCAAACUCCUACGGGAGGCAGCAGUGGGGAAUAUUGGACAAUGGGCGCAAGCCUGAUCCAGCCAUGCCGCGUGAAUGAUGAAGGCCUUAGGGUUGUAAAGUUCUUUCACCGGAGAAGAUAAUGACGGUAUCCGGAGAAGAAGCCCCGGCUAACUUCGUGCCAGCAGCCGCGGUAAUACGAAGGGGGCUAGCGUUGUUCGGAAUUACUGGGCGUAAAGCGCACGUAGGCGGAUAUUUAAGUCAGGGGUGAAAUCCCGCAGCUCAACUGCGGAACUGCCUUUGAUACUGGGUAUCUUGAGUAUGGAAGAGGUAAGUGGAAUUGCGAGUGUAGAGGUGAAAUUCGUAGAUAUUCGCAGGAACACCAGUGGCGAAGGCGGCUUACUGGUCCAUAACUGACGCUGAGGUGCGAAAGCGUGGGGAGCAAACAGGAUUAGAUACCCUAGUAGUCC
rnacentral:rRNA from 1 species